CAGCCUGGGUGACAGUGAAACUUUGUCUAAAAAAAAGUUUAAAAAUUAAAAAAAUAAAUAAAGACACAAUCUAACAGUACAACUGUUAAUAGGGUCUAAAUCUUAAGGACUUAGGAAAUGGAUGCUCUUAGAAACUGAUGCUGGAAAGUAAAAAUGAAAGCAUCCUCCUAGACUAGAGAUAAGGAAGAAAUGAGUUAAUAUUAAUAAAUAAUAUUAGCAAAAAAUGUUAGAACUCUAGUGUGGCACAAGAGCAGACAUAAAAUCCAAAGGUUGGUAUCUUCUACUAAAAAAUUACCUUAUUGACAUUUAUUAUUGUAUGCAAACCACUGCCAACAAUUACAGAGCUUAUAAAUGACAGAUUUUCUACUUACCAUGUACUCAUAUUUUAAAGUGGCAGAACUGUCUAAUGGAAUAUACUGUUUAUUAUUAAAAUUCACAUGAGCUACACAUAUGCACACACACAAAUGUACACACACACAUUACUCUCUAUACAUUCGGUAUACUAGGAUAUUUCUUGAUGUGAGAUUUACUAUCUACAAGCUCAAUUAUUUUUACUGGAAGAGCUAAAAUUUUAAAGCAGCUUGAGCUUCAAUGCAAUACACUUCUUAAAGGGUAGAUGUGUUAUAAGACAUCAUAAUUUCAUAUUCAUUUCUGUAUUCCUGAGGUUCUGUAAUUUUUUAAAGCAUGAGUCACAAAGUAGAGAUGUGUGAAGAAGAAAUGCACAGGCAUGGAAACACAUAAGCAAGAAAACACUAUUUCUCCAGUAUUAUCAGAAGGGUGGUGACUAAAAUUUCUGCUGUUGUUGUUUCCCCAGAAGAGAAUGAAAUUGAUCUAGAUUUUUGGAGAGUAAGAGCCAUCUGUUCCCAUGGAUAACAGUAGCGCUGCCUUCCAAAAGUUAUUCCUAUUCACUGGAAUUGGCCUCAAGCAUCAUUUUACCAGAUAGUAUUUAAAACUGAGAUGAUAACAUCCAAUAUUAAAACCAUGGUGGGUUUUAUGUCUUAAUUUUGUUGCCUUUAACUUUUUGUUAGUUUUCUUAAGAGAAAAGAAGAGUGCAUGUACAUAAAUAAAAUGUCAGAGGCUUUUCUUUAAUCCUUUCCAAACAGUGCUCAACAAUUAUUUCUCCCUUUCUAUCCAGACUGUGUAAUUCCAAAAUGAUCAGAGAAAAACUUGCCAUCUGGAUGUCAUAAGUAAAUAACUUGUUUCUGAGGCCUGCCUGGAGCUGUCUGAACCAGUGCAAUCAUGGAGGUGUUGGCUAACGCACCUGAGAUGAAGACACCUUCGGGCUUAUUCUUGUACAACUGUUCUUCACUAUGACAUUUCUUUAGCAUAUGUCUGAAGAUCAUUAAAAGGUAGUGCUGCAAUCCUCUCCAAAGGCAGAAGACUGGAGAGAGAUAGAGAGAGAAUCAGAGAAUCUCCUGCUGGCCUUAAAGAAGCAAUCAUGUGUAAACUGCCUAUGGAGAGAGGAGCCCAUGUCAGGAAACUGUGGGUGGCCUCUAGUAGCUGAGGGCCUGAGUCCUGCAAUACCAAGGAACUGAGUUCUGCCAAUAAUCACAUGAUCUUGGAAGAGGUCCUAAGCUCCAGAAAAAAAUGCAGCCCAGCCAACACCUUGAUUGCAGCCUACUGACACCCUGAGCCUCUGAUCCAGCAAUUUUCCAGGAGGAGGAAAUGGCUGUAUACUAAAGGGUCAGAGAUUAUAACAGCAGCAAUUAAGAUGAGAUUCUGCCUAUAGCAUUAGCUCAUUGUCUACUGCUCAAACAUAAGGUAAAU
rnacentral:lncRNA from 1 species